rnacentral:rRNA from 1 species
GUCAAUGGUCAUACUACUCUGAACAAGCCUGAUCCCAUCUGAUCUCGGAAGCUAAGCAGGGUUGGGCCUGGUUAGUACUUGGAUGGGAGACCACCUAGGAAGACCAGGUGCUGCAGGUG